UACGUAGGGGGCAAGCGUUGUCCGGAUUUAUUGGGCGUAAAGAGCUUGUAGGCGGUUUGUCGCGUCUGCUGUGAAAAUCCGGGGCUCAACCCCGGACUUGCAGUGGGUACGGGCAGACUGGAGUGUGGUAGGGGAGACUGGAAUUCCUGGUGUAGCGGUGGAAUGCGCAGAUAUCAGGAGGAACACCGAUGGCGAAGGCAGGUCUCUGGGCCACUACUGACGCUGAGGAGCGAAAGCGUGGAUAGCAAACAGG
rnacentral:rRNA from 1 species